rnacentral:rRNA from 1 species
GACGUAGGGCGCGAGCGUUGUCCGGAUUUAUUGGGCGUAAAGAGCUCGUAGGCGGCUUGUUGCGUCGACCGUGAAAACCCGCGGCUUAACUGCGGGCUUGCGGUCGAUACGGGCGGGCUGGAGUUCGGUAGGGGAGACUGGAAUCCUGGUGUAGCGGUGAAAUGCGCAGAUAUCAGGAGGAACACCGGUGGCGAAGGCGGGUCUCUGGGCCGAUACUGACGCUGAGGAGCGAAAGCGUGGGGAGCGAACAGG